rnacentral:rRNA from 1 species
GGAGGGUGCAAGCGUUGUUCGGAAUCACUGGGCGUAGAGCGCGUGUAGGCGGCAUCGCAAGUCGGGUGUGAAAUCCCGGGGCUCAACCCCGGAACUGCACCCGAUACUGCUUCGCUAGAGUCCCGGAGAGGAGAGCGGAAUUCCCGGUGUAGAGGUGAAAUUCCUAGAUAUCGGGAGGAACACCAGUGGCGAAGGCGGCUCUCUGGACGGUGACUGACGCUGAGACGCGAAAGCGUGGGGAGCAAACAGGAUUAGAUACCCUGGUAGUCCACGCCGUAAACGUUGGGUGCUAGACGUCGGGGGUAUUGACCCCCUCCGGUGUCGACGCUAACGCAUUAAGCACCCCGCCUGGGGGAGUACGGUCGCAAGAUUA